AUGGACAAGAUCCUGGGACCAACAUUUUUAAUUCUUUGGCUUCAACUAGGCUGGGUGAGUGGCCAACAGAAGGAGAAAAGUGGCCAGCAGCAGGUGAAACAAAGUCCUCAAUCUUUGAUAGUCCAGGAAGGAGAGACUUCAAUUCUGAACUGUACUUAUGAGAACAGUGCAUUUGACUACUUUCUGUGGUACCGGCAAUACCUUGGCAAAGGCCCUGAGUUAUUGAUAGCCAUACUUUCAGUUGAUAAUGAAAAAAAAGAUGGAAGAGUCACAGCAUUCUUCAGCAAAAGCGCCAAACACCUCUCCUUGCAUAUCAUGACUUCCCAGCCUGGAGACUCAGCCACCUACUUCUGUGCAGCGAGAGCACAGUGCUCUCCAGGCACCCGCAGCCCAUACCCAAACCUACAGCUGAGGCUCUAG